rnacentral:rRNA from 1 species
GACGAACGCUGGCGGCGCGCCUAACACAUGCAAGUCGAACGAGAGAGAAGGAGCUUGCUUCUUCGAUCGAGUGGCGAACGGGUGAGUAACGCGUGAGGAACCUGCCUCAAAGAGGGGGACAACAGUUGGAAACGACUGCUAAUACCGCAUAAGCCCACGGGUCGGCAUCGACCAGAGGGAAAAGGAGCAAUCCGCUUUGAGAUGGCCUCGCGUCCGAUUAGCUAGUUGGUGAGGUAAUGGCCCACCAAGGCGACGAUCGGUAGCCGGACUGAGAGGUUGAACGGCCACAUUGGGACUGAGACACGGCCCAGACUCCUACGGGAGGCAGCAGUGGGGAAUAUUGCACAAUGGGGGAAACCCUGAUGCAGCGACGCCGCGUGGAGGAAGAAGGUCUUCGGAUUGUAAACUCCUGUUGUUGAGGAAGAUAAUGACG